rnacentral:tmRNA from 1 species
ACACUUUUAAUUCAUAAACAAUCGCCUAUAUAGGGCAUGUCCGUUUCGACGGACUAUGGUGAUAAAUUGUGAUGUGCAAUAGGCACAACGGACCCGGGGGCAGUACCCGGCGGCUCCACCAUUCCAGAUGCUUUUGCAUCUGUAUUGACGGGGCCGAACCAGGAUCGACGUGUGUUGAAAAGCAUUAUUUUUACCCGGCCUGAGUACGCCGUGAUUGCUCAAAAACUAUAAGUGCAAACGAUAACGAAGCACUCGCAGUAGCGGCUUAAGCCAACGACCUCACGGUUGUAACUUAAGAAGUUAAAGCGCGGUUGGACCCACCGGGCAACAGAAGGGAUACCGGCGGUUUGGUGAGCACCGAGCAACAGAAGCUCACCACU